AUAGUAAAGCCACAGGAAAUUAUGUUGGACAAUAUAGAAGACCCUUCUCAGGAGGAUCUUUGCAGUGUUGUCCAAUCUGGAGAAAGUGAGGAGGAAGAGGAACAAGAUACCCUUGAACUGGAGCUAGUUUUGGAAAGGAAAAAAGCAGAGUUGCGAGCCUUGGAGGAAGGAGAUGGUAGUGUGUCAGGGUCUAGUCCACGUUCUGAUAUCAGCCAGCCAGCAUCUCAAGAUGGAAUGCGUAGGCUUAUGUCUAAAAGAGGAAAAUGGAAGAUGUUUGUUCGAGCUACCAGUCCAGAAUCUACCAGCAGGAGUUCUAGUAAAACUGGACGAGAUACUCCAGAAAAUGGAGAAACUGGUAAUUUGUGCUUCACAUUAAACUUCAGAGUUGAAAGAUAUAGAGGGGAAGGAAAUUCUCUCUUUUUUUGUUUCCUCUUCAACAAAACGGGAGAUUGUACUUUUACUCUUUGGGAGAAGUGCUGGGAAGGAAGCU
rnacentral:sRNA from 1 species